AGUGAACGCUGGCGGUAGGCCUAACACAUGCAAGUCGAACGGCAGCACAGUAAGAGCUUGCUCUUACGGGUGGCGAGUGGCGGACGGGUGGGGAAUACAUCGGAAUCUACUUUUUCGUGGGGGAUAACGUAGGGAAACUUACGCUAAUACCGCAUACGACCUACGGGUGAAAGCAGGGGAUCUUCGGACCUUGCGCGAUUGAAUGAGCCGAUGUCGGAUUAGCUAGUUGGCGGGGUAAAGGCCCACCAAGGCGACGAUCCGUAGCUGGUCUGAGAGGAUGAUCAGCCACACUGGAACUGAGACACGGUCCAGACUCCUACGGGAGGCAGCAGUGGGGAAUAUUGCACAAUGGGCGCAAGCCUGAUCCAGCCAUACCGCGUGGGUGAAGAAGGCCUUCGGGUUGUAAAGCCCUUUUGUUGGGAAAGAAAAGCAGCAGGUUAAUACCCCGCUGUUCUGACGGUACCCAAAGAAUAAGCACCGGCUAACUUCGUG
rnacentral:rRNA from 1 species